rnacentral:lncRNA from 1 species
UUAUGCAUUGUAUUAUAUAUUUCUAUCAUGUUGUUUCUUAGAAGAUUUUAAGAUACGCAAAUCUAGAUCAUUAGAUUUUGUGGCUAAAUAGAAAUAUAGCAUGUCAAAAUUGUAUCUUGGGCACGAUGAUGUUUUGUACAUGUCUAGCAAUACUCUUUGGAAUGAGAAUCCAUACAUGUAUUAUGAAAGAGACAAGCAACGCUCCCGUACAAGAUCUUAAUCAGGGUACACAUACAUGCUUCUGCACUCUCCCCU